AUUGAACGCUGGCGGCAGGCCUAACACAUGCAAGUCGAGCGAGCGGCGGACGGGUGAGUAAUGUAUGGGGAUCUGCCCGAUAGAGGGGGAUAACUACUGGAAACGGUAGCUAAUACCGCAUACUAUCGGAUGAACCCAGAUGGGAUUAGCUAGUUGGUGGGGUAACGGCUCACCAAGGCGACGAUCCCUAGCUGGUCUGAGAGGAUGACCAGCCCCCCUGGAACUGAGACACGGUCCAGACUCCGAAGUGAGGCAGCAGUGGGGAAUAUGGCACAAUGGGCGCAAGCCUGAUGCAGCCAUGCCGCGUGUAUGAAGAAGGCCUUCGGGUUGUAAAGUACUUUCAGCGGGGAGGCGUUACCCGCAGAAGAAGCACCGGCUAACUCCGUGCCAGCAGCCGCGGUAAUUC
rnacentral:rRNA from 1 species